GUUGUAUGGUUAAGUGACUAAGCGUACACGGUGGAUGCCUUGGCAGUCAGAGGCGAUGAAAGACGUAGUAACUUGCGAUAAGCCCAGAUUAGGUAGUAACAACCAUUUGAGUCUGGGAUUUCUGAAUGGGGAAACCCACGUGCAUAAGCACGUAUCCUUACCUGAAUACAUAGGGUAAGGAGGCGAACCGGGGGAACUGAAACAUCUAAGUACCCCGAGGAAAAGAAAUCAACCGAGAUUCCGAAAGUAGCGGCGAGCGAAAUUGGACUAGCCCUUAAGCUUUACACGCGUUAGACGAACGGUCUGGAAAGUCCGACGAUACAGGGUGAUAGUCCCGUAGUUGACGACGUGUGUUCAGUGAAAUCGAGUAGGGCGGGACACGUGAUAUCCUGUCUGAAUAUGGGGGGACCAUCCUCCAAGGCUAAAUACUACUGACUGACCGAUAGUGAACCAGUACCGUGAGGGAAAGGCGAAAAGAACCCCUGUGAGGGGAGUGAAAUAGAACCUGAAACCGUGUACGUACAAGCAGUAGGAGCAGGCUUUGUCCUGUGACUGCGUACCUUUUGUAUAAUGGGUCAGCGACUUAUAUUCAGUGGCAAGGUUAACCAUCUAGGGGAGCCGUAGGGAAACCGAGUCUUAACUGGGCGUUCAGUCUCUGGAUAUAGACCCGAAACCAGGUGAUCUAGCCAUGGGCAGGUUGAAGGUUGAGUAACAUCAACUGGAGGACCGAACCGACUAAUGUUGAAAAAUUAGCGGAUGACUUGUGGCUAGGGGUGAAAGGCCAAUCAAACCUGGAGAUAGCUGGUUCUCCCCGAAAGCUAUUUAGGUAGCGCCUCGGACGAAUACUACUGGGGGUAGAGCACUGUUAAGGCUAGGGGGUCAUCCCGACUUACCAACCCUUUGCAAACUCCGAAUACCAGUAAGUACUAUCCGGGAGACACACGGCGGGUGCUAACGUCCGUCGUGGAGAGGGAAACAACCCAGACCGCCAGCUAAGGUCCCAAAUUACUACUAAGUGGGAAACGAUGUGGGAAGGCUCAGACAGCCAGGAUGUUGGCUUAGAAGCAGCCAUCAUUUAAAGAAAGCGUAAUAGCUCACUGGUCGAGUCGGCCUGCGCGGAAGAUGUAACGGGGCUAAGUAGUAAACCGAAGCUGCGGCAAUAUACUUUUGUAUAUUGGGUAGGGGAGCGUUCUGUAAGCGGUUGAAGGUGUGUGGUAACGCAUGCUGGACGUAUCAGAAGUGCGAAUGCUGACAUGAGUAACGAUAAAGGGGGUGAAAAACCUCCUCGCCGGAAGACCAAGGGUUCCUGUCCAACGUUAAUCGGGGCAGGGUAAGUCGACCCCUAAGGCGAGGCCGAAAGGCGUAGUCGAUGGGAAACGGGUUAAUAUUCCCGUACUUCUUACAAUUGCGAUGGGGGGACGGAGAAGGCUAGGUGGGCCUGGCGACGGUUGUCCAGGUUCAAGUGCGUAGGCUUAAGAGUUAGGUAAAUCCGGCUCUUUUUAAGGCUGAGACACGACGUCGAGCACCUACGGGUGUGAAGUCAUUGAUGCCAUGCUUCCAGGAAAAGCCUCUAAGCUUCAGAUUGUAAGGAAUCGUACCCCAAACCGACACAGGUGGUCGGGUAGAGAAUACCAAGGCGCUUGAGAGAACUCGGGUGAAGGAACUAGGCAAAAUGGUACCGUAACUUCGGGAGAAGGUACGCUCUUGAUGGUGAAGUCCCUUGCGGAUGGAGCUGACGAGAGUCGCAGAUACCAGGUGGCUGCAACUGUUUAUUAAAAACACAGCACUGUGCAAAAUCGUAAGAUGACGUAUACGGUGUGACGCCUGCCCGGUGCCGGAAGGUUAAUUGAUGGGGUUAGACUUCGGUCGAAGCUCUUGAUCGAAGCCCCGGUAAACGGCGGCCGUAACUAUAACGGUCCUAAGGUAGCGAAAUUCCUUGUCGGGUAAGUUCCGACCUGCACGAAUGGCGUAAUGAUGGCCACGCUGUCUCCACCCGAGACUCAGUGAAAUUGAAAUCGCUGUGAAGAUGCAGUGUACCCGCGGCUAGACGGAAAGACCCCGUGAACCUUUACUACAGCUUGGCACUGAACAUUGACCCUACAUGUGUAGGAUAGGUGGGAGGCUUUGAAGCAGGUACGCCAGUAUCUGUGGAGCCGUCCUUGAAAUACCACCCUUGUAGUGUUGAUGUUCUAACGUCGACCCCUUAUCGGGGUUGCGGACAGUGCCUGGUGGGUAGUUUGACUGGGGCGGUCUCCUCCCAAAGAGUAACGGAGGAGCACGAAGGUGGGCUAAUCACGGUUGGACAUCGUGAGGUUAGUGCAAUGGCAUAAGCCCGCUUGACUGCGAGAAUGACAAUUCGAGCAGGUGCGAAAGCAGGUCAUAGUGAUCCGGUGGUUCUGAAUGGAAGGGCCAUCGCUCAACGGAUAAAAGGUACUCCGGGGAUAACAGGCUGAUACCGCCCAAGAGUUCAUAUCGACGGCGGUGUUUGGCACCUCGAUGUCGGCUCAUCACAUCCUGGGGCUGAAGUCGGUCCCAAGGGUAUGGCUGUUCGCCAUUUAAAGUGGUACGCGAGCUGGGUUUAGAACGUCGUGAGACAGUUCGGUCCCUAUCUGCCGUGGGCGUUGGAAGAUUGAAGGGGGCUGCUCCUAGUACGAGAGGACCGGAGUGGACGAACCUCUGGUGUUCGGGUUGUGUCGCCAGACGCAUUGCCCGGUAGCUAAGUUCGGAAUCGAUAACCGCUGAAAGCAUCUAAGCGGGAAGCGAGCCCUGAGAUGAGUCUUCCCUGAUACUUUAAGUAUCCUAAAGGGUUGUCGGAGACUACGACGUUGAUAGGUCAGGUGUGUAAGUGCUGUGAGGCAUUGAGCUAACUGAUACUAAUUGCCCGUGAGGCUUAACCAUACAACACCCAAGGGGUUU
rnacentral:rRNA from 1 species